rnacentral:rRNA from 1 species
CGGGCCUACGGGAGGCAGCAGUGAGGAAUAUUGGUCAAUGGGCGGAAGCCUGAACCAGCCAAGUCGCGUGAGGGAAUAAGGCCCUACGGGUCGUAAACCUCUUUUGCCGGGGAGCAAGGGCGGGGACGUGUCCCGGCCCGGAGAGUACCCGGAGAAAAAGCAUCGGCUAACUCCGUGCCAGCAGCCGCGGUAAUACGGAGGAUGCGAGCGUUAUCCGGAAUUAUUGGGUGUAAAGGGUGCGUAGACGGGACAGCAAGUUAGUUGUGAAAGCCCUCGGCUUAACUGAGGAAC